rnacentral:rRNA from 1 species
GUAGGUCCCGAGCGUUGUCCGGAUUUAUUGGGCGUAAAGCGAGCGCAGGCGGUUAGAUAAGUCUGAAGUUAAAGGCUGUGGCUUAACCAUAGUAUGCUUUGGAAACUGUUUAACUUGAGUGCAGAAGGGGAGAGUGGAAUUCCAUGUGUAGCGGUGAAAUGCGUAGAUAUAUGGAGGAACACCGGUGGCGAAAGCGGCUCUCUGGUCUGUAACUGACGCUGAGGCUCGAAAGCGUGGGGAGCAAACAGGAUUAGAUACCCCGGUAGUCCACGCCGUAAACGAUGAGUGCUAGGUGUUAGGCCCUUUCCAGGGCUUAGUGCCGCAGCUAACGCAUUAAGCACUCCGCCUGGGGAGUACGACCGCAAGGUUG